AGAGAGGCAGGCGGGCAGGAGCUGCAGGGGCGGUGGGUGCCAGGCUGGACAAAGGCCCAGGAGGCUGGGGAGCAGGGGGCAUGGCUCGCUGCGGGCCCCUGGGGACAUCUGAUCCAGGCUGGGGCUGUGUCUGCAUCUGGGUGACCUCAGGGCCAAGUGGCUGUCCGUGAGAAUUCCCAGAGCAUUUUGAAGCCCGAUGCCUCCAUAGGGACAUUUGGAGACAGAAAAGCAGGAGUGGAAGAGAAAGCCGAGCGCAGCGGAGGGAUGCUACAUAAAGGCAACGGUGACCAUGGACAGAGGGCUCCCUCCCGUGCCAGGCACGAUCUGUCACCCGGAGCUUCUCACCUAGUUUUGCAAUAACCACAUGGGGUGUGGUGUCACGUCCACUUCACAGGUGAGGAAUCAAGCAUCUUACCCAAGACCUGACAGCUUUUAAAAUAGAGCGGGGAGAAAGCAAACCAGUGGAGGACAACGACGUUGAGAACGGCCUGCGGAUGGCGGCUGGGCAGCGCCGGGUCUGAAGCAACCACCUCUCUGUCUGCAGAAUCGCUGAGAGAGGAGACGUGGCAGCAGGUCAGGUUCUCUGAGCGGCUCUCCAAGGAGGUACCACCGUCUCCUCAGUUCAUCUGUGCUCUCCGGCAAGUCCAAAGUCACCCUCAGAACACCGAGGCUGGACACAACUCCCCCGUGCGCCUGCGGGGCCACACCUUCUCAAGUCCCAUGAGCCCGAGCAGGAGGGGAUACUGUCUGCUUUGUCCUUUUUGUUGCAAUACAAUCUCACAGUCUCAGGGAAGAUGCAAGAAUUGUGCAAAAAAAGAACUCUCAUGUCCCCUUCCCCAGAUUCUCCCAUCAAUAACAUUUGCUUUCUCUCUCUCUCUAAACACAGAUAAAUAAAGAUGCAAGAUAGAAAGAGAGAGAGAGAGGUUUUUUCCCCUGCGCCGUCAUAGAUUAGGUCGCAGAAACCACACCUCUUCACUAAAUAUCUUUGCUUGAUAUCUCAGAGUAUUUCCUAAGAACAAGGACUUUGUCUUAUGUAAUCACAGCACAAUUUUCAAUAUCUGGAAAUGUAACGUGAACAUGGGACUACUACGGAACUCCCAGUUCACACUUACAUUUUGCCAAUUGUCCCCC
rnacentral:lncRNA from 1 species